CCUCUAAACUUGCUUUUUAAGUCAGAAGGUUGGAAGGACAGAAGGUUGGAAAGGACCUCUAGGGUUUUCCAGCUUCAGCCUCAAUCAGAAGUUCAAGGCCAUGUACAAAAUCACUGCCCAGUGACACGUCGUGUUCUGCUUGAAUUCCUCCGGGGACAUGGGGCUUACAGCCCUCUGACAGACCUGCUCUUUGAACCUUGCCCCAGGAGAAAACAUGAAAAGAACUGAGGAUCUUUAAGCUGGAAAGCAGAAAUUCCUGGGACCCUAAGGCACCCACUGUCUGGGAAGCAGGUUUGGGAUCAACAUGACGAGAACUUUAACAUGAGACUGAACUCAUUUCAGAAUCCAGCAACAUCCCUUCCCGCCACCCGUCGUGGCAACAAAAGUAUCUCCGGACAGGGCCAAGUGUCCACUGGGUGGAAGACACUGCCCUCAGUUGGAACCACCCAUCUAGACAUCCAGACCGUCAGCGGGGACUCAACACCUCAUCCCUGCCCCACCAACUUUGCUCUCUAUGCUUUGCGUACUCCUACCUUGAAGCAACAGACCUGGCAAUCCCACAGCAGGAUGGGCAGGAAGAAAGUGGCUGUGAAGAACUCAGUAACAGGUGAUCUCUAGAAGUCAGAAAAAAAUGAAGAUUGAUUCUUCCAUUGCCUGAUCCCAUUUGAGCAUCUGAAACCAACCGUGGCUGAGACAACCCCCCCCCCCCCACUCCCUCCCAGGGAUUCCCUUACCUGGAGGCAGCCUGGAGGCAGAGGUGGGCCCUCCUCCCUCCACUGUGGCCACUUUGGCACUUUAGGCCCCGCCCCUAACCUGAGCUGGACCCAUCAGAUUCUCUUUCUUAGAAAUUCGGAAUUUUGAACCAACAGACCUAGGCCCUUGUCCUGUUCAUGUAAGCGGCAGCUCUCCAAAAAGUCUGUAAUAAAUUCCUGCUACUUGGAUCCCUGAUUUCUGUUCCUUCUGCAAUCUGGUUGGUCCAUUUUGCCUGGAAUC